rnacentral:rRNA from 1 species
UUGUCAAGCUACAAAGGGCUCACGGU